rnacentral:rRNA from 1 species
UACGUAGGGGGCAAGCGUUGUCCGGAUUUAUUGGGCGUAAAGAGCGUGUAGGCGGUUAUGCAGGUCCGCUGUGAAAACUGGAGGCUUAACCUCCAGACGUCGGUGGAAACCGUAUGACUAGAGUCCGGAAGAGGAGAGUGGAAUCCUGGUGUAGCGGUGAAAUGCGCAGAGUAUCAGGAAGAACACCGUGGCGAAGGCGGCUCUCUGGGACGGUACUGACGGCUGAGACGCGAAAGCGUGGGGAGCGAACAGG